ACCGCUUCUCAGCCUUUUGGCUAAGAUCAAGUGUAGUAUUUGUCAGUUCAGCUAGCUACAGAAAAACUGUGUUCCAUUUUGUCUUUUUAUUAAUUAACCGUAUCCUGAGCACUAAAAGCAAUGAGUCAUUGGUAAAAUGCAUCUGUUUUCAUAUGGCAUCAUUU
ensembl:snRNA LOC120096424 U2 spliceosomal RNA